GUAAUUCUCCUACUCGCUCGGUGUCUGAUAUUUGUAUUAAAGUUUAACUAAAUUUGCAUCCGUUUCGAAAAGUCUCAUAUUGAGUAUAAAAUAUUUUCUAACAAAGACAACUUCAUACUUAACCUGAAACCUCUAAUUAAGAAUAAAAAAGUAAUUAUCACUCCACUGCGACCGUAUUAUAGUUGAUAUAUCUGAGUAGAUGGCUGUUUAGGUUAAUUCUUUGAAAAAAGAUUGAUAAAAAGCAUUUCUUUUUUUUAGGUGAAUUGAAGUAAUUUAAUGGUCGGAAAAUCUGAGUAACUCAAUUAGUUGACUAUCUGAAUUUUAAUUUUAUUGACGAGGAUUUAAAUUUUCUUUUAAUUUUUUUUAGGUUGCUGAGAUUGUGAUGAAAAGGGCUUUUUUUGAAGCAAGAAUGUUGGUGAGGGGUUUGUUAAGAAUUCUAUCAACAAGAAUUGGGAGUUUGUUACUUUGUGGAUUAUUUUGUUUUGGAAAAAGUUGGCCUUAUAUUAACAAAUUCUCUGAUAUUUCAUUGGAUAAAAGAGAAAUUGUGAUGCAAAAAUGGUUCAACAACAGAUUUUUUACUCCUGUUAGAUUGGCAUUUGUGUUUGUCAAAUUCUUGUGUCUAUACAUCUUCUUUACUCAGGUAAUUCUCCUACUCGCUCGGUGUCUGAUAUUUGUAUUAAAGUUUAACUAAAUUUGCAUCCGUUUCGAAAAGUCUCAUAUUGAGUAUAAAAUAUUUUCUAACAGGCCUUUUUGUCCUUUCCACCUUUUACCUCUAAUUAAGAAUAAAAAAGUAAUUAUCACUCCAACGCGACCGUAUUGAUUUUAUAACUUUUUUUUAGUCUAAACAUGACCCAUAGUUUUUGCAGGGCUUUGUUGUCUUUUUCACCUUUUUUACUUUGUAUUUUUCUUGAGUCUAAACAAGGGCAUGGCACAUGGUUUUUGCAGGGCCUUUUUGUCCUUUCCACCUUUUUAAAAUAUAUUUUUAUCUUGAUAUUUCAGUUACUGAUUAAUUCUAAUUUUAGUCCUUAUAAUAUUUGAUAAAGUAUUUACUAACCUUCGACUAUUUUUAAAAUGUGAAUUUUUAAUCCUUUUGCUGAUGAAUAUUCAUAAAUUUCCAGAAUUAAUAACCAUUCCACUGUUUAAUUAUCCAAUUCUAUGUUAAAUUCGUAUUGAAAUUCUAUAUUUGAAGAUAAUGUACUUCUUAAAAUAGUUCAAAUAUAACAUUUUCUACCUAAAGGAAUCAAAAGCAUAUAUUUUAAUUAAUCAAAAGUUAUAUGUGUUCGAGUCAUUUAUCACGAGGAUCAAAAUCAGAAUUUACGAAUAAUCAAGAAAUGUUAUUCUCCGUUUUUUUGUGAUAUGGGGGCAACAUGCUAAGUUAGAAAUCUCAAGGUACCAUAUAAUAUUAUGCUAAGUAUUUUAUAAAAAUAUCUUUCUUGAUUUUGGAAUUAACAAAUUCCUAUAAAUUUGUUUUGCUCAAUAUAGCCAACUUGACUUGAGUGUCCAUAAAGAAUUGGUCACUAGGAAGUUUCAUAUUUUAAUUAUAUCUGAAAUUGUGCUAGCAUCAUGUUUUUAAAAUUUUACUUAUUUUAUUUUCAAAGCUUCUUAAAAUCCAACCUUUCUUGAUAGGUUGAAAAAGAUUUCACCGAUCGUGCAUUUACAUCAAAUCAAAUUAGUUUAUCGUGAUUAGCGAUAAAAAAUGAAAAAUAUGUAUUAAUUAAUGAAAGUUCAGGUAGUCAACCAUUAGAGGUAAAGGGUAUUAAAUAUGAUAUUUUUAAAUGAAUUUGACAAAAAAAAAACUAUUAUUUUGGGAAAAUGACCUUUCCAUUACUAGCUUAUCCCAUUAGAACACAUGAUAUGCAAAAAAGCCUUAUAUGGACAAUUUGAAAGUCAAAACAUGUGACUAGUGAAGAUGACUUAUACUUUAUUGAUCACUGUUUAUUUAUUGAAAAAUAUCACUUUUAAUUAUUUUUUAAAAGAAGUUAGGUGGUUGAAAAUGAUAACUCAUUUAUUUGGAGUUUUUAUUAUAAUAGGUAACUUUUUAUAUGGACCAAUUUCUUCUUUCAAUAGAAUAGAAAAAAGGACACUUCAUUGUUAAUUUGGUCCCAAGAUUUUGAUGUGCAUCUUUUUUGUUACACUAAAAACAACAUCAACAACUAGAUUGAUUCUCUUUAUUAUGAGCUAUGUUACUCGAACUCUUCAAAUAUACUGGAUGCGCGU
rnacentral:lncRNA from 1 species